rnacentral:ncRNA from 2 species
CUCUUAUCGAGAGCAGGUGGAGGGACUGGCCCGAUGAAACCCGGCAACCGGUGGCCGAAAGUUUUAAACAUGCGGCUGCACGGUGCUAAUUCCUGCAGAACGUUGAGUUCUGGCAGAUAAGAG